rnacentral:rRNA from 1 species
AGCAGCCGCGGUAAUUCCAGCUCCAAUAGCGUAUAUUAAAGUUGUUGCAGUUAAAAAGCCCGUAGUUGAAUUUCGGGGUUAGUAGGUUGGUCAUGCCUCUGGUAUGUACUGGUCUCACUGAUUCCUCCUUCCUGAUGAACCUUAAUGCCAUUUAUUUGGUGUUUUGGGGAAUUUGGACUGUUACUUUGAAAAAAUUAGAGUGUUUAAAGCAAGCUAACGCUUGAAUACAUUAGCAUGGAAUAAUGAAAUAGGACGUUCGAUCCUAUUUUGUUGGUUUCUAGGAUUGACGUAAUGAUUAAUAGGGAUAGUUGGGGGCAUUAGUAUUCAAUUGUCAGAGGUGAAAUUCUUGGAUUUAUUGAAGACUAACUACUGCGAAAGCAUUUGCCAAGGAUGUUUUCAUUAAUCAAGAACGAAAGUUAGGGGAUCGAAGACGAUCAGAUACCGUCGUAGUCUUAACCAUAAACUAUGCCGACUAGGGAUCGGAUGAUGUUAAUUUUUUAAUAACUCUAUUC